CGCCCGUUAGCUCAGUUGGCUGGUGUGUCGUGCUAAUAACGAAGGUCGUGGGUUCGAUCCCCCACGGGCAG
rnacentral:tRNA from 1 species